UUUGUUUCUUGAAGUUCUUGAAACACCAGAAACCCUGUUCGUGAAGUUCUUGAAACCCCUUCUUUCUCAGUUUUAUUGGGAACAAAAUACAAUCAGAUCAACAUACCAUGGAACUAGACCCUUGGCAACAAGAUGGGUAUUUUUUAAAGGAUCAAGAUGGCUAUACAGCCAAGAGGAGUUGUGGCAAACAUUUAUUAGAUUUGUCCGGAAUGGGGAAAAUUUGAGGAGCCUGAUGUCAAUAAGCAUGUAACUGAUGAAGAUCAACUUCAUGGAAAUUCUGAAAAUCAAAUUAAGACCAAAAAUGCGUCAAGUGAAGUUUCCAAUAAGAAU
rnacentral:misc_RNA from 1 species